GCUUCUUUGAAAUAAGUUUAUUCUUUCUGCCGUAUUUGCUUUUCUGGCUUUUUGAUAUACUGUGUUCUCAUUUUGUUAAUGUCUAAGUAGUUUGUGAUUUACUCCCUGCCCCUCCCUUAAACCCAAGAAUGCUUUUACCAAAGUACCAAGUAUCAUCCUGUAGUUAACUUGUUCUUUAAAAGGGAAUCUCACUUUGUAUUGGAGGAGUCAGAUUGUCACCCUCUGAACCCACUGACCAAGCUUAGUGUUUCUAAAAAUGGUCAACUUGAAAUAACAUGUUUCAUGAUGAGAUGUAAUGUGGAGUGCUCAGCACUUCUUAGAACUCUUCUAACAACACUAGUAAGCUUGAAGUUUUAAUGUCAAGCUUUAAAUCCAGUCCGGUCAAACUUCUUACUAAUGUGGUAGCUAGUGAAAGAGAUAAAUGGUACUUACUAUAAGGAGACAACCAUAGACUAUCAUUCUAUGAUCUGGUCUAGUCACAAUUUAAUUACCAACUGACCUGGUCUCUUUUCAUAAAAAUUGCAUGGAAAAUUUUGGAAUUUUUCACUUUGUAGGAUUUUGUUUUUCUUUUUGCAUUGGAGCGAGCUGGGGAAUUAUUCA
rnacentral:lncRNA from 1 species